ensembl:misc_RNA Y_RNA Y RNA
GGCCUCCCAAAAUGCUGGGGUUACAGGCAUGAACCACCAAAUCUGGCCACAUGUUAGGUUUUAAAUCUACAAGAAUAGAAUAGUUUUACCAAUAAAAAACCUUUGUCAUAUAAAAUUGUGUGAUUGUAUUUUUCUCCACUCCCACUGCUUCACUUGAGGAGCCUUUA